GCCCGCCUAGCUCAAUCGGAUAGAGCGUCAGACUCUUAACCCUUGAGGCUGCACAGCGACCACAGGCGGGCCAAUCUGAAGGCUGCGAGUUCGACCCUCGCGGUGGGCU